GGGUUGUGAGGUUAAGCGACUAAGCGUACACGGUGGAUGCCCUGGCAGUCAGAGGCGAUGAAGGGCGUGCUAAUCUGCGAUAAGCGCCGGUAAGGUGAUAUGAACCGUUAUAACCGGCGAUACCCGAAUGGGGAAACCCAGUGUGAUUCGUCACACUAUCAUUAACUGAAUCCAUAGGUUAAUGAGGCGAACCGGGGGAACUGAAACAUCUAAGUACCCCGAGGAAAAGAAAUCAACCGAGAUUCCCCCAGUAGCGGCGAGCGAACGGGGAGGAGCCCAGAGCCUGAAUCAGCAUGUGUGUUAGUGGAAGCGUCUGGAAAGGCGCGCGAUACAGGGUGACAGCCCCGUACACAAAAGCGCAUGUGCUGUGAGCUCGAUGAGUAGGGCGGGACACGUGGUAUCCUGUCUGAAUAUGGGGGGACCAUCCUCCAAGGCUAAAUACUCCUGACUGACCGAUAGUGAACCAGUACCGUGAGGGAAAGGCGAAAAGAACCCCGGCGAGGGGAGUGAAAAAGAACCUGAAACCGUGUACGUACAAGCAGUGGGAGCACCCUUUGGGGUGUGACUGCGUACCUUUUGUAUAAUGGGUCAGCGACUUAUAUUCUGUAGCAAGGUUAACCGCAUAGGGGAGCCGGAGGGAAACCGAGUCUUAAUUGGGCGUUAAGUU
rnacentral:rRNA from 1 species